CCGAGUUCUUCUCUUCCUCUAUCACCGGAAGCACCCACGGUGAGCAUCCGUACCCGUCAACUCUCCCCGACCUUCCCCAUCAUCUCUCUUUGACCUUCCCCGCACGUCUCCUCUGCUGCCGUGCAUGAUGCUUGGUGGCAUCCCAGGUGCCUCUCCAAAACAGUGUGUGUACUGCUCCCCUGAAAAUCCGCUCAUGUGUGCAAAGCUAUGGCAUCCAGCUACUAUGGUUGUCUCUGUUUAGCAUUUUUUUUCUCUCUUUGAACUAGCUGCCGAUUUGCACCGGUCUCUCAGACGUGCUCCAACAUAUGGAUGUGUUGCUCAUGUGAAAAUGUGCUAACUGAAUUUAACAAUCUUGACAAAACUGCAGGGGUGUGCGCGUGUGUGUGUGUCUAAUUUACUGGAAAAUUUCUCAUUUCCCCUUUUACAACCAUUGAGAUGUUCAGAGACGUUGCAUGAAGUUCUACAACAACUAUACGCCAAGUCCUACUAUGGCUAUGCACUUUUCUUCGCGGUGGUUUGCAUUCCUUGCUGCUACUGGAUACUGGACGUGUGUGAUGUGGGCUUGCUGGACGGGUGUUGGCUAGCUUCAGGAUAGAGAUCAGAACAAAGUUGACCUUCCAUGCCAAGAAUUCAAAUAUGUUCUACUAUUUGUCAUUCAUCUAUGGUAGUUCAUAGUACCACAUGUAUGGUUUUCGUUUGCCGAAUCUACACAAGCCAUGCUGAGUAUUCUUGCUACAAUAUUGCUAGUUCCAUGAAUCCUUACUGAAUCUUUAUACUAAAUCUGAAAAAAAUACUGCCUAAAGCAAAACGAAUACUUUCAGUUCAGAAUAAUGUAUCCCUCCUUCCCCAACAACACUACUUCCUUCUCAAACCUGAAUUUUCGAUCGGUCCAGUCCUCAUAUUUGUUUUUAUGAUGUUUCGGCGAAGCAUUGAUCAAGCGUUCACUCACUCCUAAAGAUGCCUGUGCUUUUGCAUGUGUG
rnacentral:lncRNA from 1 species